CACGAGCUUCCAGAUCCGGCAGGGGCAGAAGGGCUUCUAGCAACUGCAAGCAGCAAGAAAAGGGAGAAGGAAUAGAAGUGGAAAAAAAGCUUUACUGCAAGAUACAGUGCAGUUUACAGUGGAAACUGGGGAUGGAAAGCACCUUAGAUGUUGCAACAAAAACAACGGGGACAUCAGAAGGUUGGUUAUUCAAAAUGAUACUUACCAAGAAUGUGAGCAACAGCUUCCACAAGAUCACGCUGGCUACCACCAUCACUUUUUGCCAACAGCUUUUCUGCCAGGACAAAACUAGACAUGACCGGGUGAGGCUGGUUGAGGAAGAGAUCCAGAACAUCCAAGCAUGAGCUGAUCCUCUGGGGCAGAGUUCCUCCAACCACAGUGUCAUUGCUGCCCAUGGUCUCCAAGACAACGCCCACAUCACCAAUUGCACCCCAUUGUACGGCAAGGCCUGGACAAAUAUAGAGAAUACCUGGAGGUUAUUACAGAGCAUACAGCAGUAGGAAACGUGAGAUGAAGAAAAGAGUAUAAAAUUGGGAGCAGUUAUGAGCCUAAGAUUUUUCAUACAAAUAUUAUUCUGCUUAUUCUCAUACAAAUGUUAUUUUACUAAUUAUGUGGGGGUCUACUACAGACCUCCAGGCCAGACUGAAGAACUGGAUGGAUGAAGCCUUCCUUGGACAGAUGACCAAACAUGCAGAAAGAAGAGAUGUAGAAAUAAUGGUAGAUUUCAACUAUUCUGAUAUUUGUUGGAAAACAAGCUCUGCCAAGAGUACACAGUACAACAAAUUUCUCACUUGCCUUGCAGACAAUUUAAUUGUCCAGAAAGUGGAAGAGGUAACAGGGGGAUAAGCUAUUCUGGAUCUGAUCCUAGCCAACUCUAUGCUUCUGUGAUUCUAUACUCUACAGUGCUUGUCUUGGAAAAUAAUCCCUACAGGUUAGAAGAAAGACACUAUUACCUGGAAGUCCAUCAUGCCUUCUCUGUUCACAGAUACGCUCCAUGGUAGAAUUGGCAAAACCAUAGUUACUCUGCCCAGCAUUGCCUCUUCCACAGCUGACUGAAGAGAAGGCUACAAAAUGGUCCAGUUUUGGGCAAUUUUGGCGGGUUACUCUGGAACAAAAUAACACAGAAAAGGACUGUUUGCGUCUCAUUUUCAAGAAUCUCUACGUGCUCAUCAAAAAGAGCAGUAGCAUAUAUUCAUGUUUCAUAUGUUACUUACUGGUCCAGAUGCAGUGUGCCUAAAUACUUGGGUUUGUUGACUUCAUAGAAAAGCUCUGGAGUCUGAUUUUCCAGCAUUGCAUCUUUCAGGACCUGAAGGAAAUAGACAUUUCAUAGUCAAUGCAGAAUGUAUUUUGCUUCUAUUUGAAAGAAAAUGUAAAAACAUAUUCUCAAAGUGCCAUUACUGUAGCAGGGAUUAAACACUCCCUUCACAGUCAACUGCGACUGAAUUUUUCAAAACUUAAAAAAUACAUUUUUAAUGUUAAGUCUGAUUUGGUCUUCACAACUGUAGACAAAAUAAUCUCGAAACAUAAAUGAAAAUGUCCUCUACUCUUACACAUUUUACAACAUGAAAGUUAAAAGAAAUGAUCUAAUAACACAUAAUUUCCCCCAAAUAUUUGUCAGGUAUCUCUCGCCUGCCCUUCAUCCUUUCUUGUUGACUAAAAGAUCUGAGGUAAAACAUCCUGAUACCUCAUUUUAGUUUAAAAUACAAACAGUAAUAUAAUUAUAAUCCAACACAACAUUAAAAAAAUAAAAGCAACAUUUCUUCUAGCCAAGGAACACACAUACAGGUCAACACAGUAAUUGUUUCCUGUUUUCACACUUAUCCAGCAUAAACUGCAGAAGAAAACUAGUUUGAACAGUCAGUUUGAUCCAGCUUGGACACCAAAUAAAUAACCCUUGGAGCCACAUGGGUUUUAAACACCGGCCACUCACCAUAGCCAAGUUGAAGAGGCCCCCAACGGGACCAAGUUGAGAAGCUUCUUGGAUUAAGCGCUGUGCCCCCUCAAGAGUCCCGGCAUCACUAGUUGAGACAAGAACUUGGAUUCCAAGCUGUUUCCAUUCUUGGACCCGUUUAGCCUGGUAUCCUGAAAAUCAAGAAUCCAGAAUACUGGAUUGACUGCAUACUGGUUAUGCUUAUAAUGUUGCACUACCUCCAGUUUUAAAAAAGACUGCUUCCUUAGAAUUUAAGAUGCAGCAAUAAUGAUGAGACUAACAGGCUAGCUAAGGUCUGAGAAAAAAAUGGUUUGAGCCCAUGAGAUGAGAAAGUUAGUGAGAAUACCUGUAGUUACUGGUAUUUUUCUUUAAUGUAAUAGUUAAUGAGGGGGUAUUUUCAGGUGUCAGUUAUGGUGACACCAAAAUUUAAUCAUUUGGCUGUACCUCCUGCUACAUUUUUGUGAAUAAAAUAAUCCAGACAGUUUUUUAAGUGAUCUGAUUUUUUUUUACUGUCUUAGUAGACACAAUGGAAAUGUGUCUUAUAUAUAUAAAAUAGUAUUCUUGGGAAUGCAGAAAGAUGAUGAUCCUAUUGCUAGCAGUAGAUCCUUGUUAAUUCUCCCCCAUCCCUCAGAUGAGACUAUAUUAAUAGGGACAACUGCAAAAGAAGUACACAUCUAGAAUUCCAAAAUAGUGGAUGAUUUCUCUCCUACACAUUCCCAGUGUCUUCCCAGCAAUGCCAUUCUAGAUUACAUAAAAGCCAAAAAAUAAAAUAAAAAUAGGAGCAAUAUAUUGGCCUUCAUUAACUGACACGCUUUAUACUGCCAUUUCUGAUUUUUCCCUUGCCUAAAGUAUAUAUGUUAUUAAAGAUAAACAAAUAUUUCCAGCCAUUCAUGUAUGUCACCCUAGUUGUUAUCAUUUGAAUUUAAUUUCUUCCUGGUCAGUGCCUUUUACGUAAUAAUGCUUUUAAAAUGGUGAAAAUGUGUUAUAGUAAAUAUGUCUAUGUCAGCAGAUAAGAAACUUUGUCAAUUUCUUUUAUCAGAUGGUAAAUCUAGAUGUUUCCUAAUUCCAUUGCAACAUUUCUUGCUACUGCUUAGGUUCACAGAACAAAAUUAAAAGAUUGAGCCAAACAUUCAGGGACAUUGUUAACACUCAAGUAUUCACUCUUUCCAAUUCAUUGCUUUUUCUUUUAGCUUACCCGUUCGGAUGCCAGAUCGAGAUGUUAGCACCAGCUUUUUUGCUCCUCUUUCAACCAGCCAUUGAGCCAAUUCCAGCCCAAAUCCCCCAAGGCCACCUGUGAUGAUGUAGGAUUUAUUUGGUGGGCAAGACAUCCGGGAGAUUGCAGGGAGUUGGGUUGGCUUAGCUUCCUUUGUGGGGUAUUGAUUUUCUUCUUCACGAACCUAAAAACAGCAAUAUAGACAAUUCAUCAAAUAUUGCUAACAAUGAAGUAUGCCUAAUAUUUUAUAACAAUUAAUUAUGUCAGAUAAUAUGCGUAUUCAAUACAUGCAUACACACACACUCACACUACACAUGUAUCUCAAAUAAGCAUAUAUUUGCAUAUUUUUGCCAUAUCCAUGCGGUAUGAUUUCAAAAAUUUAUACAAAGUUAAGCAAACAACAAUAGAAUAAACAUAAGAGAAAGCAACUAGUAAAUGGUCCAGUUGAAGGUUCUAAGUCAAACAGAGUGGACCAUGAUAGGAAAGACAAGUAUCACACUCAUUUUUUUUUCUGCCACACAUUUUUGGAUUGUACUAAAUUUUAGUAAAAACAUUAGCCCCUCUUUGGCUUGGCUUGGCAUGGCAUGGCAUGGCAGGGGGUUGGAGUGGAUGGUCUUUGCGGUCUCUUCAAACUUAAUGAUUUUAUGUUUUCACUUCUCAAAUAUCUUGUGGUAGACGGCCCACCUGAUCUUCUAAGUGAAGGAUCUACAGCUCAGUUCUGGCCUAAAGCAGAUUCAUCUCAAUCCACAAAACCUCAAACUAACAGAGGUGGCUCAUCUGACUCUCCUGUUAAUUACUUUACACUAGCUGACAGUUUCUUAAAAAUAAUGUAAUUAAAAAUGUUAAACAAAUGGUUUCCCCACUGAACCGAGUUCAUUGUAUUUUUGGCUGUUUAAAUGUAUAUUGGUUUUUAUAUUGUUAAUGUAAUUAUAUUUUACAGGAUUAUUUAGUCUGACUUUUAACUGUUCUGGUUUUGACUUUUUAUCAUUUGUUAUAUGGUGUAGGUAUAUUCUCUUGUGAAUUAUUGUUUUUACAGUUGUGCACUUUUUCUAUUUUUUAAGUAAUUGUCAAAAAGCACAAAUACAAGCUACAUUAAAACAGCCUAUAUGUGUAUGUUUACCACACCUUCCUAUUUCUGUCCCUCUUUGCUACUUAAAAAUGCAGGUAUUACUAUAACUACUCAUAGUUGUUCAGAGCCAUUUCCAAACUUAGCAUCCUGGGUACAGAAAAUGAAUCUGGAAGUACCAGUCAUACCUGGAUCACAACUUUCCCAAUGUGUUUUCCUUGCGCCAUGUAUCUGAAUGCUGCUUCUACCUCGUCUCUUUUGAAAACAGUUGUCCGCAGAGGUUUUACUACCCCGUCUUUGAUGCCUUUUGUUAGCAAGUCUGACACUAAUUCCCACUCUUCAUUUCCUUCUUCAAAAAUGGCAUCUAAUAGGAUCCCAUGAAAAGCCACAUUCUUCAGGAAAAGGGCCAUUCCUAGAAGAAGCAACACAGUUAUACUUUUACUCUAUUGUAUUUUCUGUUGCUGGCAAAUUUCCUGUGCAUUUUAAAAACGAUUCCUGUGUUAGGGAAAAAUAAAUAAUUUCACCUUCAAAGCUGCUGCUGCUCAGUCAUUUAGUCAAAAGUAUGUAAAUGAUAAUAGAAGCAGUAAGACUCAUCACAACAGCAUUGAACUCACACAGUCAUCUGAUUUCAUAAUGGCAAUGGUAUUCCUUAAUAAAUAUGCUUUCCUUUUCUAGUUAGAAAUAAUCUUAUAGCCCCCCUGUCCUAGAGUGCAUCUACGCUAUAGAAUCAAUGCAGUUCUGAAGGACCACCAGAGUACUAAAAUAGUAAAGAAUGAAACCUUACCAAGAGCUGUGUUGUUGGACAGGUCAAAUUUUCCUAUUUCCAAGAAACGCCCAUGCCGAGCAAGGCAACGCAGACUGGCUUGGAGCUUCUCUUCUGACAAGGAGUUCAGCACCAAGUCAACACCUGGAGGAAGGACCCAACACAAUAAUGCAUAAUUUGUACAUUACAGGAUUCUCAUUGCUCUGUCUUACUAGCAAAACCAUCUCCAUUUAUCUACACAAUCCUCUAGUAAUUAAAUAUUCUGCAUCCUAAUUGUAAAUGUUUGGUAGCGAAUUCUUAAUUCUAGUAAUUACACCUACCUCUUCCAUUGGUGACUUUCAGAACAUGUUGUUCAAAAGAGGUGUUUCUGGAGCUGGCAAAACUGUUGGCAUCAAGUUGGGGGAAUCUUUUCUGGAGAUAUUCACGUUUUUCUUUAGAGCCUAAAAUCAGAAAAUAAGCAUUAUGUUUAUGGGAAAGACAUAUUAAUGCCAAAGUCUGAUGCUAAAAUAACAGAUUGCUGUAAUGCCUAAAUUAUGUUAUAGUUAAUUAUGCCUGUGGGAUCUAACAUUUAUUGGUAAUUCACUGCCCUAAGGAACAAAAGAACUCACAAGAGUGCAAUCCAUUCUUAUUCACUUGUUCCAUUUUUAUCUUUGCAGAAUUAAGCAUAGACUUUAUUGAGGCGCACAUGGUUUUUGUUCACAAUGCAAAGGGAUGCCAUUACUUACCUACGGUAGUAAAGACACGGCAGCCCAUGCUCAGGGCAAUAGCAAUGGCUGCUUGGCCAACACCACCAGAGCCUGAAUGGAUGAGCACGGACUCCCCCUUCUUCAUGCCUCCUCGGACCACCAAGGAAUAGUAAGCUGUGGCAUAUACCACAGGUACAGAGGCUGCUUCUUGUAGACUCCUGGAGAAAGGCAGAGAGGCUUUUCUUAGGCAUUCAUGAUUCUUUAUCUCUUUCCUCAUAACAGUUAUCAUGACCUCCAUGCCAAGCUACCGCAGUUCUUGGAGACAAGUCUGAAUCUGGAAGUGGUCUCUCUCUCAGAUUUUAACUUCAAUGAAUCACAUACAAAAUGCACUGAUGUAUAUAUUUUCAACAGAGUCAGCAUGGUGUAGUGAUUUGAGUAUUGGACUACAACUCCACAGAAGCUGGGGUUCAAUUCCCUGCUCAAGCAUCAAAAACCAUUGAGUAACCACAGAAGGGUAAGUCACACUGUCUCAGCCCCAGAAGAAGGCAAUGAGAAAACCUAACCGCCUAAACAAAUCCUGUGAUAAGUGUCACAUUUGAGUUGCCAUAUAUCAGAAGGCACACAUCAACCAGAAAUUUCUUUUCAAAAGAUGUGGAAAGUAAUUUCACUUCUAGUGUGAAUAUUAGACUGCUUUAAAAUUCUACAGCAAACCUACUGACUCCAUCAGGCCGGGAACUGAGCUGCCUCACGGACUCUACUGAACUGAACUAAGGCUUCUCCUUCUCUUGAAAUUCUUUUGUUCCAGCCCAUGAUUAUAAAAACGGGGCCUAAGAAAUAGUGCCAGAAUUUGCCCUUUCCCCCUCUUCCUACAGUCUCAUUUACUAUUAUAAUUGUGUUUUUAAAAAAAUGUAAAUUGAUGUAUUAUUGCUGAUAUUUGUAACCUGCCCUGGAAAACCUUGUGGGUAUAAAAGUGAGAUAUGAAUGUCUAAAAUAAUUAGCAAAUUACUAAAAAUAUUGUGAUACUGUAUUUAAAAAAUUCAUUAAAAUAUGUGAAAAAUGA